AGAGCGAACGCUGGCGGCAGGCCUAACACAUGCAAGUCGAGCGCCCCGCAAGGGGAGCGGCAGACGGGAGAGUAACACGUGGGAACGUACCCUUCAGUUCGGAACAACCCAGGGAAACUUGGGCUAAUACCGAAUACGUCCGUAAGGAGAAAGAUUUAUCGCUGAAGGAUCGGCCCGCGUCUGAUUAGCUAGUUGGUGAGGUAACGGCUCACCAAGGCUACGAUCAGUAGCUGGUCUGAGAGGAUGAUCAGCCUCACUGGGACUGAGACACGGCCCAGACUCCUACGGGAGGCAGCAGUGGGGAAUAUUGGACAAUGGGCGCAAGCCUGAUCCAGCCAUGCCGCGUGGAUGAUGAAGGCCUUAGGGUUGUAAAGUCCUUUCGACGGGGAAGAUAAUGACGGUACCCGUAGAAGAAGCCCGGCUAACUCGUGCCAGCAGCCGC
rnacentral:rRNA from 1 species